rnacentral:rRNA from 1 species
GAGAGUUUGAUCCUGGCUCAGGACGAACGCUGGCGGCGUGCCUAAUACAUGCAAGUCGUACGCUUCUUUUUCCACCGGAGCUUGCUCCACCGGAAAAAGAAGAGUGGCGAACGGGUGAGUAACACGUGGGUAACCUGCCCAUCAGAAGGGGAUAACACUUGGAAACAGGUGCUAAUACCGUAUAACAAUCGAAACCGCAUGGUUUUGAUUUGAAAGGCGCUUUCGGGUGUCGCUGAUGGAUGGACCCGCGGUGCAUUAGCUAGUUGGUGAGGUAACGGCUCACCAAGGCCACGAUGCAUAGCCGACCUGAGAGGGUGAUCGGCCACAUUGGGACUGAGACACGGCCCAAACUCCUACGGGAGGCAGCAGUAGGGAAUCUUCGGCAAUGGACGAAAGUCUGACCGAGCAACGCCGCGUGAGUGAAGAAGGUUUUCGGAUCGUAAAACUCUGUUGUUAGAGAAGAACAAGGAUGAGAGUAACUGUUCAUCCCUUGACGGUAUCUAACCAGAAAGCCACGGCUAACUACGUGCCAGCAGCCGCGGUAAUACGUAGGUGGCAAGCGUUGUCCGGAUUUAUUGGGCGUAAAGCGAGCGCAGGCGGUUUCUUAAGUCUGAUGUGAAAGCCCCCGGCUCAACCGGGGAGGGUCAUUGGAAACUGGGAGACUUGAGUGCAGAAGAGGAGAGUGGAAUUCCAUGUGUAGCGGUGAAAUGCGUAGAUAUAUGGAGGAACACCAGUGGCGAAGGCGGCUCUCUGGUCUGUAACUGACGCUGAGGCUCGAAAGCGUGGGGAGCAAACAGGAUUAGAUACCCUGGUAGUCCACGCCGUAAACGAUGAGUGCUAAGUGUUGGAGGGUUUCCGCCCUUCAGUGCUGCAGCUAACGCAUUAAGCACUCCGCCUGGGGAGUACGACCGCAAGGUUGAAACUCAAAGGAAUUGACGGGGGCCCGCACAAGCGGUGGAGCAUGUGGUUUAAUUCGAAGCAACGCGAAGAACCUUACCAGGUCUUGACAUCCUUUGACCACUCUAGAGAUAGAGCUUCCCCUUCGGGGGCAAAGUGACAGGUGGUGCAUGGUUGUCGUCAGCUCGUGUCGUGAGAUGUUGGGUUAAGUCCCGCAACGAGCGCAACCCUUAUUGUUAGUUGCCAUCAUUCAGUUGGGCACUCUAGCAAGACUGCCGGUGACAAACCGGAGGAAGGUGGGGAUGACGUCAAAUCAUCAUGCCCCUUAUGACCUGGGCUACACACGUGCUACAAUGGGAAGUACAACGAGUUGCGAAGU